rnacentral:rRNA from 1 species
UACGUAGGGACCAAGCGUUGUUCGGAAUUACUGGGCGUAAAGCGUGCGCAGGCGGUUUCGUAAGACAGGUGUGAAAUCCCCGGGCUUAACCUGGGAAUUGCAUUUGUGACUGCGAGGCUAGAGUGUGUCAGAGGGAGGUGGAAUUCCGCGUGUAGCAGUGAAAUGCGUAGAGAUGCGGAGGAACACCGAUGGCGAAGGCAGCCUCCUGGGAUAACACUGACGCUCAUGCACGAAAGCGUGGGGAGCAAACAGG